CUACGGGGGGCACCAGUGGGGAAUAUUGGACAAUGGGGGAAACCCUGAUCCAGCAAUGCCGCGUGUGUGAAGAAGGCCUGCGGGUUGUAAAGCACUUUCGGUUGGGAGGACUGCUUCUAGCACUAAUAUUGUUGGAAGUUGACGUUACCUUCAGAAGAAGCACCGGCUAACUCCGUGCCAGCAGCCGCGGGUAAUACGGAGAGUGCAAGCGUUAAUCGGAAGUACUGGGCGUAAAGCGCGCGUAGGCGGCUAGAUCAGUCGGGUGUGAAAGCCCCGGGCUUAACCUGGGAACUGCAUCCGAUACUGUCUAGCUUGAGUACAGGAGAGGAGAGUGGAAUUCCACAUGUAGCGGUGAAAUGCGUAGAUAUGUGGAGGAACACCAAUGGCGAAGGCAGCUCUCUGGCCUGAUACUGACGCUGAGGUGCGAAAGCGUGGGGAGCAAACAGGAUUAGAUACCCGCGUAGUC
rnacentral:rRNA from 1 species